AAUGAACGCUGGCGGCGUGCCUAAUACAUGCAAGUCGAGCGAACGGACGAGAAGCUUGCUUCUCUGAUGUUAGCGGCGGACGGGUGAGUAACACGUGGAUAACCUACCUAUAAGACUGGGAUGACUUCGGGAAACCGGAGCUAAUACCGGAUAAUAUUUUGAACCGCAUGGUUCAAAAGUGAAAGACGGUCUUGCUGUCACUUAUAGAUGGAUCCGCGCUGCAUUAGCUAGUUGGUAAGGUAACGGCUUACCAAGGCAACGAUGCAUAGCCGACCUGAGAGGGUGAUCGGCCACACUGGAACUGAGACACGGUCCAGACUCCUACGGGAGGCAGCAGUAGGGAAUCUUCCGCAAUGGGCGAAAGCCUGACGGAGCAACGCCGCGUGAGUGAUGAAGGUCUUCGGAUCGUAAAACUCUGUUAUUAGGGAAGAACAUAUGUGUAAGUAACUGUGCACAUCUUGACGGUACCUAAUCAGAAAGCCACGGCUAACUACGUG
rnacentral:rRNA from 1 species